UGGCUUGAAUAUUUACCAAUCCCAGGGUUGGGAUCUUAUUGAUGACAAUGAACAAAGUCCCACGACCAGCAUAGGUGCUAAUACAUCUGAGGUAGAGCAUCGGUCUUGUGCCAACCUCAAGCCACCAGCUUAUUCAACUAUGUGGGCAACUUGUUGGAGUCUCCUAACAACUUUUGGAAUAUGGAUAAAACCCCAAACUGACACUGACAAUUAACAAUCCUACUUUACAAGUUAGUGGGCUGAUUUUCUAUCCUAAUGGCCU
rnacentral:lncRNA from 1 species